rnacentral:rRNA from 1 species
UACGGAGGGUGCAAGCGUUAUCCGGAUUCACUGGGUUUAAAGGGUGCGUAGGUGGGUUGGUAAGUCAGUGGUGAAAUCUCCGGGCUUAACUCGGAAACUGCCGUUGAUACUAUCAAUCUUGAAUAUCGCGUAGGUAAGCGGAAUAUGUCAUGUAGCGGUGAAAUGCUUAGAUAUGACAUAGAACACCGAUAGCGGAGGCAGCUUGCUACACAAUGAUUGACACUGAGGCACGAAAGCGUGGGGAUCAAACAGG